rnacentral:rRNA from 1 species
UUUAUUGAAACUAGUAUGAAGGAUUAAACAAAUUGAUAUAAUUUUAUAAUCAUUAUAAUGCAAUUUUUAGUUUAUGUAAAAAUACUUAAAUAAAUUAAAGGGACGAUAAGACCCUAAAAGGUUUAAUUUUAUCUUUUGUUGUUUUAUUGUUAAGUAAAUUAAAAGUUUAAUUUUAGCUGGGGUAGUUAUAUCUUUUAAUAGAUUUUUUUUGUUACAAAUUGUUAGUAAGAUUCUUUAUAUUAGGAUAAUUAGUAUGAGUUACUUUAGGGUUAACAGCGUAAUAAUAAUGGUAAGACCUUAUUUAUAUUAUUGAUUGUGACCUCGAUGUUGAAUUAAUUUUCCUUAUAAAGCAGAAAGGAUAAGAGGAUAGUUUGUUCAACUUUUAAAUUUUUACAUGAUCUGA